UGGAAACUGUNUGACUUGAGUGCAGAAGGGGAGAGUGGAAUUCCAUGUGUAGCGGUGAAAUGCGUAGAUAUAUGGAGGANCACCAGUGGCGAAAGCGGCUCUCUGGUCUGUCACUGACGCUGAGGCUCGAAAGCGUGGGUAGCGAACAGGAUUAGAUACCCUGGUAGUNCACGCCGUAAACGAUGAGUGCUAGGUGUUAGGCCCUUUCCGGGGCUUAGUGCCGGAGCUAACGCAAUAAGCACUCCGCCUGGGGAGUACGACCGCAAGGUUGAAACUCAAAGGAAUUGACGGGGGCCCGCACAAGCGGUGGAGCAUGUGGUUUAAUUCGAAGCAACGCGAAGAACCUUACCAGGUCUUGACAUCCCGAUGCUAUUCUUAGAGAUAGGAAGUUACUUCGGUACAUCGGAGACAGGUGGUGCAUGGUUGUCGUCAGCUCGUGUCGUGAGAUGUUGGGUUAAGUCCCGCAACGAGCGCAACCCUUAUUGUUAGUUGCCAUCAUUAAGUUGGGCACUCUAGCGAGACUGCCGGUAAUAAACCGGAGGAAGGUGGGGAUGACGUCAAAUCAUCAUGCCCCUUAUGACCUGGGCUACACACGUGCUACAAUGGUCGGUACAACGAGUUGCGAGCCGGUGACGGCAAGCUAAUCUCUGAAAGCCGAUCUCAGUUCGGAUUGGAGGCUGCAACUCGCCUCCAUGAAGUCGGAAUCGCUAGUAAUCGCGGAUCAGCACGCCGCGGUGAAUACGUUCCCGGGCCUUGUACACACCGCCCGUCACACCACGAGAGUUUGUAACACCCGAAGUCGGUGAGGUAACCUUUUAGGGGCCAGCCGCCU
rnacentral:rRNA from 1 species